GAUGAACGCUGGCGGCGUGCCUAAUACAUGCAAGUCGAGCGAACAGACGAGGAGCUUGCUCCUCUGACGUUAGCGGCGGACGGGUGAGUAACACGUGGAUAACCUACCUAUAAGACUGGGAUAACUUCGGGAAACCGGAGCUAAUACCGUAUAAUAUAUUGAACCGCAUGGUUCAAUAGUGAAAGACGGUGUUGCUGUCACUUAUAGAUGGAUCCGCGCCGCAUUAGCUAGUUGGUAAGGUAACGGCUUACCAAGGCAACGAUGCGUAGCCGACCGGAGAGGGUGAUCGGCCACACUGGAACUGAGACACGGUCCAGACUCCUACGGGAGGCAGCAGUAGGGAAUCUUCCGCAAUGGGCGAAAGCCUGACGGAGCAACGCCGCGUGAGUGAUGAAGGUCUUCGGAUCGUAAAACUCUGUUAUUAGGGAAGAACAAAUGUGUAAGUAACUAUGCACGUCUUGACGGUACCUAAUCAGAAAGCCACGGCUAACUACGUG
rnacentral:rRNA from 1 species